UAGCAGCUAAUCCCUAGUUACCCUUGAGAAAGCACCUUCCUGAAUCCCUGUUGUCUACAUGGUUGGUCACUUCUAUAGUGCUGUGAUGGAGGAUGUUCCAGGAUUUUGUUUCAGUUGUAAUGAAGGAAUGAUGAUAUUAUUCCAAGCCAGACUUAUUCACAUUCAGAAUGUGAGUAUUCCUGGGGGUGAGAAAAAAACUUUUGAAACUUUCAGUCUUGUACUCAUCAGGAUCACUUGCAAGAUAACAAUGAAAAGGUUUGAUGAUGAAGAAUACACAUAGGCCCAAAGAUCUACAGUAUCAAUUUUAAAUGUUUUUACAUGAAGAUAGUAGUUAAAGUACACUAUCAAGUAUCUGUUAAUGGAUAUCACAAAUAACAAAAUAGCGUUUUGAUAAAACACACUUUUUUGUAUGAACUAUCCAUAUUGUUGCUCAUGUUGAAUGAGCUCUGUUUGGUUGCUCAUGUACAAAAAGAGAUUUGCUGCCACCAUUCGCUUUAAAAAAUGUACUUUUUUAUGGUAGGGAUCUACAGGGCCUACUUGAUCUUGCGAGGUAAAGGGACAAUAAAAGGCCCUUCUCUCCAAGAUGUAAUUUAUUGUAUGACAGUGACUAUGUACAAGCUACACAGAUAUGAUAAAAGAUUGUUACAGAUACAGAGGAAGACCUGAUGGUAGCUCUUGUUCCUUACAGAUCCUGAACCUUUCUCCUCACAACAUAUGAUUUGU